rnacentral:rRNA from 1 species
AUUGAACGCUGGCGGCAGGCUUAACACAUGCAAGUCGAGCGGUAACAGAGAGAAGCUUGCUUCUCUGCUGACGAGCGGCGGACGGGCGAGUAAUGCCUAGGAAUCUGCCUAGUAGUGGGGGACAACUUGCCGAAAGGUAAGCUAAUACCGCAUACGUCCUACGGGAGAAAGGAGGGGACCUUCGGGCCUUUCGCUAUUAGAUGAGCCUAGGUCGGAUUAGUUAGUUGGUGAGGUAAUGGCUCACCAAGACCGCGAUCCGUAACUGGUCUGAGAGGAUGAUCAGUCACACUGGAACUGAGACACGGUCCAGACUCCUACGGGAGGCAGCAGUGGGGAAUAUUGGACAAUGGGGGGAACCCUGAUCCAGCCAUGCCGCGUGUGUGAAGAAGGUCUUAGGAUUGUAAAGCACUUUAAGUUGGGAGGAAGAGCAGUUAACUAAUAUUUGACUGUUUUGACGUUACCGACAGAAUAAGCACCGGCUAACUUCGU